rnacentral:lncRNA from 1 species
UGUACUAUAUUCAUAUACUCUAAUAUUUACUUUGGCAUUGAAAGUAGGGUCACUGAUGUGAUUACGCAUUAAUUUCACACGUAUAAUAGUCUAGGAGCCUGCCACGAAAGAUUUCACCCUUUAAGAAUAUCCCUGCUGGGGCUGGCCUCCAGACGUUCCUGAAAAUUGCCUCGGGACGGAUCUUUGAACCACAAGGUAAAUCCCCCCCAUUAAAGGUAUAUGUACAAAACUUGCACCAGUGUAUAGUACUAUAUCAGGACAUUAUAAAAAACCAAGACUGACUAAAAAUUUAUGUCAGAAAGGUUAAGUAAGAACCCCCUAAACUUACUCAAUAAAUGCUGAAUUUACGAUUUAUUUCACCCUCCCUCCCCCUCCCAUAAUGGGCAUACACAAAACUUGCACCAAUCUAUAGUACUAUCUCAAGACAUAAGUAAUUUCAGGGGGUCAAACCUUCUGUACUUUACUGGGUUAAAUAUUCCGUGGCAGGCUCCCGGACUAUACUUUCUUCCUUUUAGUUAUUAUUAUGCUGCAGUCUAACAUUACUUUAAGGAUCAUUCUAUUUUUUUGAGGAGCUUUUGACAAAAACUCUCCUUUUUCAGUAUUUUUUUAUGAUUUCUCCCCAUCAAAUUUUUUUAUUAUUUUAUCACGCAAUCUUGCCUUUAACAAAAAAAAAACA